GACGAACGCUGGCGGCGUGCUUAACACAUGCAAGUCGAACGAUGAUGCUGGAGCUUGCUCCAGUUGAUUAGUGGCGAACGGGUGAGUAACACGUGAGCAAUCUGCCCUUGACUCUGGGAUAACUGCGGGAAACUGUAGCUAAUACCGGAUACUUUCACCGGAAGGCAUCUUCUGGUGAUGAAAGACUUUCGGUCAGGGAUGAGCUCGCGGCCUAUCAGCUUGUGGGUGAGGUAACGGCGCACCAAGGCGACGACGGGUAACCGGCCUGAGAGGGUGACCGGUCACACUGGGACUGAGACACGGCCCAGACUCCUACGGGAGGCAGCAGUGGGGAAUAUUGCACAAUGGGCGCAAGCCUGAUGCAGCAACGCCGCGUGAGGGAUGAAGGCCUUCGGGUUGUAAACCUCUUUUAGCAGGGAAGAAGCGAAAGUGACGGUACCUGCAGAAAAAGCACCGGCUAACUACGUGCCAGCAGCCGCCGUAA
rnacentral:rRNA from 1 species